CCUUUAAACUAAACGUUUUAAUUUAUAUUUAUGGCUGAAUCCAUUUUUUUUACAUGGAUACAAUAUGAUUUGCAGCGGGACAUUAAACUGAAUUUAUUCAUUUGAUCAAAGCAAUUUUAUUAAAUUAAGCAUGGUUUGCACAUGCGCAUUGCUGAGUUGGAGUUCCGCUCUCUGACCACCUGACCUGUUUAUUUAAAGAAUUUUUUUUAAAAAAAACGUCUGUUACAGUUGAACUGUGUGUUAAGUGGCGGCAGCAGUAACUUACACUUCAGAGAGACACAGAAGAACUACGAGCAACUCUGAAGAAGCUUCAGGGAAGCAGCCACCAAUCAGCUGUUCCUGCUGUGCAAAUUAUUUGGAAUCUCCUGCCAGUGAUCAUUGCUUGUGGAUAAUGAGGUUGAAGAACUGGAGCGGACAACCAUGGCGAUCUUUAUCACUGGGAAAGAGGAUCCUCUCCAUCCACCUAAAGACAUUAAAAUUGUUGUCGAAGGAAAAGAGGUCCUGAACGAGUUGCCAUCGGUUGCUGGGCUCAUAUAUACACUAAACCUAAAAUAUCCAAAAAGGCUACAGUUCACCUUUGAAUUUGUGCAAAAGGUCCUGAUGGAGCUUGAUGGAAUAAAGAUGACCCCAAAAGUCACUAGACUGACCACCCAGCUGUACAGGGAUUAAUUGUAUAAUUGCAUGAUUGUUACAUUUUAUUGUGUUUUUACAGCCAAGACUUUAGAUCCUUUUAAUAAAAAGGUUGUACUAACAAGGCUGCAUUUUCACUGCAGCAUUUACAAAUGUGGCUGCCCAAGUUCGAUGGCUACAAGGUACAAAGGUUGAAUAAGGCCAAGUCUUAUGAACAACUGAAGAGACUGAUUGCAGUGUUUCAAGUAUUUCUGCUGUCAAUCUUCAUACAUUUGAAGCAAAUGUUCAAUGUUGUGAGUUUAUUGAACAAUAAAUGUGUUCUAAAGGAAAAGUGUUCUGAGUAGUCAUUGAUUAAAAUUUAUUGAAAUCAUUAAUUAAAUAAAAUAAUUAAUUUAAUUGGACCUAUAAAAAUUAGUUUGUUCCAAAC